rnacentral:rRNA from 1 species
UUACCGGCUUGACAUUAACCCGAUGUGCCUCGGACAGGUGCUGCAUGGCGUCGUCAGUUCGUGCCGUGAGGUGUUGGGUUAAGUCCCGCAACGAACGCAACCCUGUGUUAGUUGCAGAGGACCGAGACUCUAGCAGGCUGCCCGUGAAACGGGAGGAAGGUGGGGAUGACGUCAAGUCAGUAUGGCCCUUACGCCGGGCUGCACACGUGCUACAAUGGAGUACAAGGGGCACCGCGAGGGGAGCAAUCCCAAACUGCCCCAGUUCGGAUUGUAGUCUGCAACUCGACUACAUGAAGUCGGAUUCGCUAGUAACGGCGAUCAGCACGCGCCGUGAAUACGUUCCCGGGCCUUGUACACACCGCCCGUCACAUCAUGAAAGCCGUUGACCGAA